CCUGGCGGCUUUAGCGCGGUGGUCCCACCUGACCCCAUGCCGAACUCAGAAGUGAAACGCCGUAGCGCCGAUGGUAGUGUGGGGUCUCCCCAUGUGAGAGUUGGGAACUGCCAGGC
rnacentral:rRNA from 1 species